UACGUAGGGCGCAAGCGUUGUCCGGAAUUAUUGGGCGUAAAGCGUCCGUAGGUGGUUUAGUAAGUCUGCUGUUAAAGCGCGGGGCUUAACUCCGUAUCGGCAGUGGAAACUACUAGACUAGAGUGUGGUAGGGGUAGAGGGAAUUCCCAGUGUAGCGGUGAAAUGCGUAGAUAUCGGGAGGAACACCAAUGGCGAAGGCAGCUCGCUGGGACGUUACUGACGCUGAGACGCGAAAGCGUGGGGAGCAAACAGG
rnacentral:rRNA from 1 species